GACAGAGGGGGCAAGCGUUGCUCGGAAUUACUGGGCGUAAAGGGCGCGUAGGCGGGAUGGCAAGUCGGUCGUGAAAUCCCUCGGCUCAACCGAGGAACGUCGAUCGAUACUGCUGUUCUUGAGGAUUGCAGAGGAGACUGGAAUUCCCGGUGUAGCGGUGAAAUGUGUAGAGAUCGGGAGGAACACCGGUGGCGAAGGCGGGUCUCUGGGCAAUUCCUGACGCUGAGGCGCGAAAGCGUGGGGGAGCAAACAGG
rnacentral:rRNA from 1 species